rnacentral:rRNA from 1 species
GGCGGACGGGUGAGUAAUGUCUGGGAAACUGCCUGAUGGAGGGGGAUAACUACUGGAAACGGUAGCUAAUACCGCAUAACGUCGCAAGACCAAAGAGGGGGACCUUAGGGCCUCUUGCCAUCGGAUGUGCCCAGAUGGGAUUAGCUAGUAGGUGGGGUAAAGGCUCACCUAGGCGACGAUCCCUAGCUGGUCUGAGAGGAUGACCAGCCACACUGGAACUGAGACACGGUCCAG